AGCUUGAAAGAGUGAGUGACCCUGCGACAGUGAGAUGGGGUGCCGACGGAAUUGUCUUCUCCGAACUCACGCUGGAGCAUCGCAAGAUACUGUGCAAGCGUCUGCAGCCGAACAUCGACCAAGGGCAACUGAACGACUUGGCGGAUUUCUUGAUGGAGAGCUCGUAUCCACAGGGAUGCUCCAAAAUUGUGGCCGGUCGUGCCCGUGAGCACGGUCUGAUGUUCUUCGAGGCCCUGCUGGAUUUGUGGCUGGACAGUAACGGCUCUGCCAGUGCACGGCAGUACCUGAAUGCGCUUGAGAUGGUCAGCGCAAGUGCAACUGCUUAUGCUAAGCGUGUGCUUCAGCCGGACCAGUGGUGACUGCUACACAACGCACCUGAGACCCCUGUGGCGAACACACAAUAAGUGCUUUUAUGCUGACUAUUUCUGAGUGGUGAAUGUCAUUCACGCCUGGAGAAUACUGCUCUAAGUUAUGAAUUGUAAGUCUGAAUUCUCCCUUUGUUCAUGCCAUUUACACUGGGCAUUGCAGCAGAAUAGCACACAGCCAUUCAGACGAAUUGCCUUGUUUGCUAAUUCGAAAAGCAUAACUUUGAGGUGUAGAUAUUUCUCCAUAAAUACCUGGAAAGUCUAUUUGUUCAGAGAGUUGAUACUAAUCUCCACGUAGAAUGCAAGAUAAAGUCGUGCGCUUGAUGCAGAUUUGAUAGAAUUGCAAAGUAGUUCUAUUCAAUCAACCAAGUCUUCAGUUACCGUUGACAUUUUUGGUCAGUGACCAUCACCAAGAGACUGAAUUGCGAACUAAUUUUUGUAUACUUGCUGCUGAUAUUGUUGAUUCUUCAUUUCCCAUGGGACGGUUCGAGGUUCAUAUUAUCCCCGGCGUUUGGAUACUUGGUUUAGCUGAUCAGACGUGUUGACAAGUGCAGUGUCAGCAUUUGCAAUAUUAUAAUCAGAAGUGUCUAAUUUUGACAAAAUAUUUUUCUUUUAUUGAUUUUAUAAUUCUGAACCUGUUGUCAGGCCUAGGGUUCCUUCUGUCAAAAUCUACUUCAAAGUAUUUUAGGUUUUUUUCAAAUUGAAAAUUUUGUUGAUGAUAUUUGAUAAUAAUUCUCAAAAAAUA